GACGAACGCUGGCGGCGUGCUUAACACAUGCCAGUCGAACGGAAAGGCCCCUUUGGGGGUACUCGAGUGGCGAACGGGUGAGUAACACGUGAGUAACCUGCCCUUGACUUCGGGAUAACUUCAGGAAACUGGGGCUAAUACCGGAUAGGAAUCCUUGCUGCAUGGUGGGGGUUGGAAAGCUUCGGCGGUUUUGGAUGGACUCGCGGCUUAUCAGCUUGUUGGUGGGGUAGUGGCUUACCAAGGCUUUGACGGGUAGCCGGCCUGAGAGGGCGACCGGCCACAUUGGGACUGAGAUACGGCCCAGACUCCUACGGGAGGCAGCAGUGGGGAAUAUUGCACAAUGGGCGGAAGCCUGAUGCAGCAACGCCGCGGGCGGGAUGACGGCCUUCGGGUUGUAAACCGCUUUCAGCAGGGGCGAAGCUUGUGGUGACGGUACCUGCAGAAGAAGCACCGGCUAACUACGUG
rnacentral:rRNA from 1 species